rnacentral:rRNA from 1 species
UACGUAGGGGGCAAGCGUUGUCCGGAUUUAUUGGGCGUAAAGAGCGUGUAGGCGGCCAGAUAGGUCAGCUGUGAAAACUCGAGGCUCAACCUCGAGAUGUCGGCUGAAACCAUCUGGCUAGAGUCCGGAAGAGGAGAAUGGAAUUCCCGGUGUAGCGGUGAAAUGCGCAGAUAUCGGGAGGAACAUCAGUGGCGAAAGCGGCUUCCUGGACCAGCACCGACGUUCAGGCACGAAAGCGUGGGGAGCAAACAGG